AGACAGACGCGUCGAGGACGACUCGCCAAUAAUCUGCUGACGAGAUGCAACGGUCGCCAGGCGCUCAGUGUUUCAGGGAGCCAUAAAGUCUCAUCUGCUGUCUCCUCUUCAGUCUCUCCUACAGGCCAUUACA